CCUACGGGAGGCUGCAGUGGGGAAUAUUGGACAAUGGGGGGAACCCUGAUCCAGCGACGCCGCGUGAAUGAAGAAGUAUUUCGGUAUGUAAAGCUCUAUCAGCAGGGAAGAAAAUGACGGUACCUGACUAAGAAGCCCCGGCUAACUACGUGCCAGCCGCCGCGGUAAUACGUAGGGGGCAAGCGUUAUCCGGAUUUACUGGGUGUAAGGGGAGCGUAGACGGUUAUGUAAGUCUGGAGUGAAAGCCCGGGGCCCAACCCCGGGACUGCUUUGGAAACUGUGUAACUGGAGUACAGGAGGGGCAGGCGGAAUUCCUGGUGUAGCGGUGAAAUGCGUAGAUAUCAGGAGGAACACCGGCGGCGAAGGCGGCCUGCUGGACUGAAACUGACGUUGAGGCUCGAAAGCGUGGGGAGCAAACAGGAUUAGAUACCCCUGUAGUC
rnacentral:rRNA from 1 species